GAUAAACGCUGGCGGCGUGCCUAAUACAUGCAAGUCGAGCGAGAAGACGUAGCAAUACGUUUGUAAAGCGGCGAACGGGUGAGGAAUACAUGGGUAACCUACCCUCGAGUGGGGAAUAACUAGCCGAAAGGUUAGCUAAUACCGCGUACGCUCCUUGGACUUCGGUUCAGGGAGGAAAGCGAUACCGUGGGUAUCGCGCUCUUGGAUGGGCUCAUGUCCUAUCAGCUUGUUGGUGAGGUAACGGCUCACCAAGGCUUCGACGGGUAGCUGGUCUGAGAGGACGAUCAGCCACACUGGCACUGCGACACGGGCCAGACUCCUACGGGGAGGCAGCAGUAAGGAAUAUUGCGCAAUGGGCGAAAGCCUGACGCAGCGACCGCC
rnacentral:rRNA from 1 species